GAUGAAGAACGUAGCGAAAUGCGAUACUUGGUGUGAAUUGCAGAAUCCCGUGAACCAUCGAGUCUUUGAACGCAAGUUGCGCCCGAAGCCAUUAGGCCGAGGGCACGCCUGCCUGGGCGUCACACGUCGUUGCCCCCCCAUCUACUCCUUCGGGAUUGCGGGGGGCGGAUGAUGGCCUCUCGUGCGCCUCGUCGCGCGGUUGGCCUAAAUGCCAAGUCCUCGGCGACGCACGCCACGACAAUCGGUGGUUGCGAAACCUCGGUUGCCUGUCGUGUGCGGUCGUCGCGCAUCGAGGGCUCGAAAAAAUUGCCGGGCUUCGGCUCGACUUUCAACGCGACCCCAGGUCAGGCGGGGUUACCCGCUGAUUUUAAGCAUAUCAAUAAGCGGAGGA
rnacentral:misc_RNA from 1 species